CAUGAGUUCUCAUCAUUUAGCUCCCACUAAUGUGGUAUUUGGGAAAAUCCAACUUUUGAAAGAUCUUUAGUCUGCUAAUCAUGAAUGGCCAACAUAAUUACAGGCAUGCCAACAUUUGUAACAUUGUGACACUUUCCCUGCCAUUCUUAGUUAAAACUGAUCUUUUGUUCCAAAAAUUUUUGCUACCAACAAUAGCCUGUCCUUUAUAGUUCUUUUAUACUUUUGUGUCUUCUCUCUAACUAAAUAAUCAACUCUUUCAGCAUUCCAUCCAUUUCCCUUUCUCCUCCCUCUUACUCCCAACCCACAUUCCCCUCUCCAUUUUAAUUUUAACCUGUGCCCCUUCAAGUGUACUCCAGCUUUUUUUUUAAAAUAAUUUCAAGUGAUACUUUGACUUUUGACUGCAUAUGGAAGCAUAAGUAACAUGUCCUUUCAUUUUUGGAUAAUGAGUUUCCUGAUUAAUUACAGCUCAAGAGUAAAAUGACUGAUUACUAUUUAAUUCAUUUUGUGCUUCUUUACAAUAAAGUAAAGACAGAAGCCCCAGAUUCAGGAACAGACAAAAUACUUUAAUCGCUAUCACAUUUUUUUUAAGUCUAGUCAAUUAGAAAAGUCAAAUCUUUCCUCACAGCCAAGCACAUUAAAAAAAAAUCUUCUCUGGUAAUAAACUUGAAGCUUUAAAUAAUUCUACAAUUAUAAACAUUUUGUGUAUUUUGCAAAUAUGGCAUAACCUGUUGGCAUAAAAUUCCAUUGUUCCAGAAAAUAUCGGUAAUAAAAUUAUAGAAAAGUUAAAGAUCUUCAUUUCUUAUUUCGAAGCGUUUGGGAGACAUUUCAGAAACGGAUGGGAAAUGUUAAAUUCUGCAUGCCUGCUUAAGUUUCCAUCCACACCGACUAGAUGUAAACGAGUGUCACCAAAAGUACACCACAGGCACCCACACAGAUUCCUUCCAUAAGGGAUCCACAAAGUUUAGAUGUGAAAUGUACCUAAAGGUUCCUAGCCGUCUUUCAUCC
rnacentral:lncRNA from 1 species